rnacentral:rRNA from 1 species
UUGACCUCGGAUCAGGUAGGGAUACCCGUCU